rnacentral:ncRNA from 1 species
UAUAUUUGCACCCUGUUUGAAAACCAAUCAGAUACAUAAAAAUCAUUAAACCAAUAUUGGCAUG